GAAAUGCGAUAAGUAAUGUGAAUUGCAGAAUUCAGUGAAUCAUCGAAUCUUUGAACGCACAUUGCGCCCGCCAGUAUUCUGGCGGGCAUGCCUGUUCGAGCGUCAUUUCAACCAUCAAGCCCCCGGCUUGUGUUGGGGACCUGUGGCUGCCCACAGGCCCUGAAAAACAGUGGCGGGCUCGCUGUCACACCGAGCGUAGUAGCAUACAUUCUCGCUCAGGGCGUGCUGCGGGUUCCGGCCGUUAAACGACCUUCAUAACCCAAGGUUGACCUCGGAUCAGGUAGGAAGACCCGCUGAACUUAAGC
rnacentral:misc_RNA from 1 species